UCGAGAAUCUUCCACAAUGGACGAAAGUCUGAUGGAGCGACGCCGCGUGGUUGAUGAAGUCCUUCGGGACGUAAAAACCUUUUAUGAGGGAGGAAGUUAUUGACGUUACCUCAUGAAUAAGGGGCUCCUAACUCUGUGCCAGCAGGAGCGGUAAUACAGAGGCCCCAAGCAUUAUCCGGAAUCACUGGGCGUAAAGGGUGUGUAGGCGGUUAUAUUAGUCUUUUGUUAAAGUUCUUCGGCUUAACCGAGGAAAUGCAGGAGAAACGGUAUGACUAAGAGGAUAUGAGAGGUAUAGGGAACUCAUGGUGUAGGGGUGAAAUCCGUUGAUAUCAUGGGGAACACCAAAUGCGAAGGCACUAUACUGGCAUACUCCUGACGCUGAAACACGAAAGCGUGGGAAUCGAACGGGAUUAGAUACCCCCGUAGUCC
rnacentral:rRNA from 1 species